CUCUGUGACUCCGUACGGGAGGCAGCAGUGGGGAAUAUUGCACAAUGGGCGCAAGCCUGAUGCAGCCAUGCCGCGUGUAUGAAGAAGGCCUUCGGGUUGUAAAGUACUUUCAGCAGUGAGGAAGGCGGGUGUGUUAAUAGCACAUUCGUUUGACGUUAGCUGCAGAAGAAGCACCGGCUAACUCCGUGCCAGCAGCCGCGGUAAUACGGAGGGUGCGAGCGUUAAUCGGAAUUACUGGGCGUAAAGCGCAUGCAGGUGGUUUGUUAAGUCAGAUGUGAAAGCCCCGGGGCUCAACCUCGGAAUUGCAUUUGAAACUGGCAGACUAGAGUACUGUAGAGGGGGUAGAAUUUCAGGUGUAGCGGUGAAAUGCGUAGAGAUCUGAAGGAAUACCGGUGGCGAAGGCGGCCCCCUGGACAGAUACUGACACUCAGAUGCGAAAGCGUGGGGAGCAAACAGGAUUAGAUACCCUGGUAG
rnacentral:rRNA from 1 species